CGCAUCUGUGCAUGCAGCAUAUCAAUAAGCGGAGGAAAAGAAACUAACAAGGAUUCCCCUAGUAACGGCGAGUGAAGCGGGAAGAGCUCAAAUUUGAAAUCUUAAAGGGUUUCCCUUUACGAAUUGUAGUUUAAAGAAGUGUUUUCCUGUUGAGGUUUUGGUAAAAGUUCUUUGGAAUAGGACAUCAUAGAGGGUGAGAAUCCCGUAUUUGACCUUUACUUUCAACUUUGUGAUACACUUUCAAAGAGUCGGAUUGUUUGGGAAUGCAGUCCAAAAUGGGUGGUAAAUUUCAUCUAAAGCUAAAUAUUGGCGAGAGACCGAUAGCGAACAAGUACCGUGAGGGAAAGAUGAAAAGAACUUUGAAAAGAGAGGUUAAACAGUACGUGAAAUUGUCAAAAGGGAAGCGUUUGACACCAGUGUUGUUUUUCUGAAAAUCAAUUAAAGAACUGUUUAUGCUAAAGUUGUUUAGACUUUAUCAGCUAACUGUUUAGUUUUGAGCUUUUCUUUAAUGCACUUUUCAGUUAACAAGUCAACAUCAAUUUCUUUUGCUGUAAAAAAGCUUGAGGAAGGUGGCUUGAGAUUCGUCUUAAGUGUUUAUAGCCUCUUGCCUAUGCAGUCGGAGAGAUUGAGGUCUGCAGCGUAGAUCCUUCGGGGCUAAAUGCAUUUGUGCUAAGUUAUAGCAUUUCAUAGACAACUUGUUGACUAUGAUUUGUCUUGUAGCUUACUCGCUUAUGUUAUUUUACCUACGCUUAGGAUGUUGAACUCUAUCACACACAG
rnacentral:rRNA from 1 species